GAAAGGAAGGGGAAGGUGGAGGAGGACAAGGAAGAGAAAGGAAAGAAAUGCGGUCGCGCUAGUACGGUGAUACGAAGGAAGAUAUAGAUGAAGGGAGGAAGAGGGAGAAGAAACAGAGAGGGGUGAACCGAAAGUGCGGCGACUCGUCACCUGAUUGCAGUCGCCCGCGUGUGCGCCGUCUUCCUCUUUCUAUCUCUUUCUAUACCUUUCUCUCUCUAUCUAUAUAUAUAUAUAUUUCUCUCUCUCUCUCUAUCCUUUACGCGGUCUUCGUUUUCUAUCGCAACGGACGAGUCGUCUUCUGGACGGUUCCAUCUUUGAUUCACAAUAUUUUUCUUUCCUUUCUCGAAAUGUUUUUGUUCAACUUUUCAAAUAAAUAAAAAUAAAAAAAAUAAAAAAAAAAAAAAGAGAAAAAAACCAGGAAAAAGAAAAAAAGAAGAAUAAUAAAGAAAAAAGAAAGAAAGAAAAAACACUUAUAAUAUUUUACAAAUGUAUGAUAUGAAUGAUUAGGGAAACACUCCGAAGAUGAUUCAUUGAUAGAUUACUACGACGAUGCGCUUCGCGGUCCGUGAUCGUCUGAUUGUGAAACAAGAAGAUCGAGAGAGACCAAGUGUGUGUAUAUUCCUGGUGACCUAGCCGCCUUAGGCGCCAACGGUCAACCAAUCAGAAAUCUGCUUUUUCUCUCCUCCUUGCACGUCGACCAAUCGGAAAGCUCUGUACGCGCCCGCGCCACGACCGACGGAGCUCACUUGAUUGGUUUGUACUUAGAUCAUAUACUUCUUAUAAUACUGUUUUUCUUUCUUUCCCUGUUUUUUUUCCUUUCUUCUUCUUCUUCUUCUCUUUUUUUUUCUUUUCGAGAAAUUCAAUUUUAAUUUUAGAAACGAUUAUUUAAAUUUAACGUUAACGUAAUAACACCAUUGAUGUGUUAUAAUAUUGUAAUAUUUUAAUUAUGAUGUUUCUUUGAAGAUGAAAAAAUAUUUAAAAAGAAAAAAAAAGAAAGAAAGAGAGAAAGAAAAAAAAUUAGCAAUAUUCAGGAAAGAGAAAAGAUUGGAUGAAGCCAGAAGAGAUCAAAGCGAUUUAAACGGAAAAAUUUCUUUGUACUACGAACGUCAAUUAUUUCGUUUGUUUAUCGAGAAAAUACGUCGAUAUCUUACGAUUUAGCAUUAUCGUCUUCGACUAAAGAUAUUUCCUUUGAAAUAUAUAAUUUCUGAUAAUAAACGUCGAAUUUUUUAUUA